rnacentral:lncRNA from 1 species
AAAUCAUGUCAGUACAAUUUCUGGUAAAGGACACUGAUAAUUUGCUGAUUUCUAAACCCUGUGACGGUUUCGUAUGGGCUGUCUGAUCUUGGCGUGAUAAAGUUCGAUAUUAAACAGCAGCAGGUCAGAGCAGCUGGGAUCAAAUCCUAUUUUCCUACAGCAGCAUCAGUGUGAAAGUACAAGUAUGAGUCAGGCAAGGACAAUGAGUUUGGAAGAGCAAAUCAGGAGCCUCUCACCAGUUGCAGCACAUGCUCUGGCAAUUGCUGAAAUUACAGAUGACAUUGACAUUCAAGAGUUAACAAGAGCAGAUCUGAACGAACUUCUGCCAGGCCUUCAACAUUUAAAACUUAGAAAGAAGAUCAGUGAACUUAUAAAUACAUCUAAACAGAACACAGCUAAACCUAUUGCUUUAGUUCUUAACAAGCUAAGGGAAUUCCUUCCGGUUGAUGUCAUGGAGAAUGCACUUGUUCCCGGGGGAGUGUUACAUGGCUACUUCCCUAUUCUUAGAGAUUUGGAGAAGCAGCUGGCCGAAGCCCUCUACUUCAUUCAGGCACACGUUGGUUUGCUCGAGAGCUACAUUGGAGAAGAGUCCAUGGAGGCUCAGAGCAGUGCUGCAUCUCCAUCAGUUGACUCUGCUACAGCAGGAAACCAACCAUCAAAUGUUGAGGUCCAGAAAACAUCUGUUAAUCGCACCUCAGGAUCAUCAGCCUUAUGUGCCGCUGACAGCCAGCCCAAACAAUGCAGAACAGAAGUGUCUGGUGCGCCGAACAGACCCACCUUCAAAGAAACUCAAGAUGAGACCUCAAUGUCACACUCUCAUACUUCAGGAGCAGCUGGUGCUGACACCCAUUUUCAAAAAAGUAUAACGGAUCCUUCUCAAAUUUCCACCGGUAGUGGGCUGCACGAGCCACGAUGCAAACAAGGAGAUAAGAUGUCCUCAUCUUGGUGGAAUUUUAGAGCAACUGAACCUCUAAAUAAGAAACAAGCAGUUAAAGUCCAUUCACAAGUCUGUGGAAAAACCCUGGACACUCACCUUGCACUCAUGAAACAAGUGGAUGAUCUGGCAGUAGGACUAAAGCGAGAGGAGACCAGACCAGAAGACUGCCAAGUCAUAAUAGCCUUCUGUCCUAUUACAUCUCGUGUGGGAACAGACAUUGAUGCCGCCAUGAGCAAAGUUCAAAGUAACAAAGAUGUCAUUCUAGUGGUGAUGCACCAUACUUUUGAUCACUGCUUUGUCACAAGCCAGAGAUCUGCAUCUCACUACAUAAACGUAGUGGAGGAAGUUAAUGUUCUCUUCCAUGACUCUAUGGGACUUCUGCGUUGUGAAACAAAUGAUAAAGCAGUGACUCUCAUACACAAGGCCUUACAGAAAUACAGCAGCACUACUUACAAACGUUAA